rnacentral:sRNA from 1 species
GGCUUCAACAACCCCGCGGUCUGGGCGCUGAUUCCGAUUGCGAGUUUCGGAAAAUGAAGCGCAGUGAGCCCGCUGGAGCC